CUAAAGGAGGUUUAUGGUGAUAUGUUUGACAUACCAAUGCUAGUUAGCCAACUUUGUUUUAUUUACAGAGAUAAAGACUUUCACUGUGAUUCAUGCGAUGAAUUAUUGAAAUAUAUUUUUCAGUUCCAUUAUCAAUCUAGUAUUCCAGAAGUUGUAAAACUGUUAAAGAUAAAUGGGGUUUUGUCAAUUACAAGUGCUUCAGUUGAGAGGUCAUUUUCUUGUUUGAAGAGGGUAAAAAAUUAUCUUAGAAAUACUAUGAGCCAAGAACGUUUUAGUUCCCUUUGCAGGAUUUCCAUUCACAAAGACAUACUGUCAGAAAAAGAAGACGCCAACACAUUGCAUGAUGAGGUAUUCAUAUAUGGCUGAUAGCAAGCUGAUGAUGUCUUACGUCCAUGGCAUGUGAGAAUUUUUCCGGGAACUUUUUAAUGCAGUCAAUGAUGAUUGUCAUUUCAGCACGACAAUUUCAUCACAACUUUUGAUAGUUGUUGAUGACAAAUCUGAGCCUUUUUCGGUUCUUUUGUCAAAGUUUCUUUACAAGAUGUACAUAGGUAUCUAUUUGUGUAUGUGGUGUUGAGAAAAUAAAUCACAUAUCUGCAAC